GAAAUGUAAGGACGUUCUUUUUAGAGGUCCGACCCAAUUCAUUUCCUUCACACUGUGCACAAACUGUUUUUACACAUUUUAAACACUAUAAGAUAAGAAUGUAACUGUCUCUUGAUUGAGCAUAAACUAUUAAAACUUUCGGCAACGGAUCUCUUGGCUCC
rnacentral:misc_RNA from 1 species